GUGUCGCCAGGACUGGGGGAGGGUGCCCUCUUUCCAGCACUGGUUGAAGUACUCCAUGAUGCAAGUAAUCGAUUCAUUGUCCAGAUUACGAAGCGUUGUGUUGGUGACCUGGUCAGGGCUGGGCGCGGAAUUGGUGCGGAGAGUAAUGAGGGCUGCUCUGACCUCCGCCUCUGCUAUGUCGGUGUCGAGUUCGGGGUUCGGCUGUCCUGUGUAUGAGGGGAGAGGAGAUGGUAUGCCAGGUGCUUUAUUACGAGCUGUGCCAGAUGGAUCGCAAGGGCUGUCGGCCUCGGAUCCGACAGCCAUUUUCCAGCAAUCGCCAGCUUGCCUGGCUUGCUCGUUCGCAAUGGUCGGCACCGAUAAGCAGCACAAGUGGUCCGAGUUCGUGUGCACCACUGGACGCUUAAAUGGACAUAGUUAAAGAGCAGCCAGAUUUGCUCGUUUCAUUUCGAGCGUGCCUGGUAUAAAUAAACCCUGCCAAGCUUA